UGGGGAAUAUUGGACAAUGGGCGAAAGCCUGAUCCAGCCAUGCCGCGUGUGUGAAGAAGGUCUUCGGAUUGUAAAGCACUUUAAGUUGGGAGGAAGGGCAGUAAGCGAAUACCUUGCUGUUUUGACGUUACCGACAGAAUAAGCACCGGCUAACUCUGUUCCAGCAGCCGCGGUAAUACAGAGGGUGCAAGCGUUAAUCGGAAUUACUGGGCGUAAAGCGCGCGUAGGUGGUUCGUUAAGUUGAAUGUGAAAGCCCCGGGCUCAACCUGGGAACUGCAUCCAAAACUGGCGAGCUAGAGUAGGGCAGAGGGUGGUGGAAUUUCCUGAGUAGCGGUGAAAUGCGUAGAUAUAGGAAGGAACACCAGUGGCGAAGGCGACCACCUGGGCUCAUACUGACACUGAGGUGCGAAAGCGUGGGGAGCAAACAGG
rnacentral:rRNA from 1 species